rnacentral:lncRNA from 1 species
AGCACGGAGCAGACUGGGAGUCCGCACCGGGAACGGAGCCCACCUUUGGAUUGUGAGGUUGUGAAUGAAGCGGGCAGGCGCCGGCCCAGGGCAGGGGAGCCUGUGGGCACGGAUCCAGCCCUGGCUCGCUCAGUGAACAGGUGGCCCGUUCCUAGAUCUGCAGUAACAGGCGAGCCGUCUUUGUUACCUUUGAGCUUUCUCUGAAGCCCAUUCAGGCUCCUCAGACCACGUGUCUGGUGAGUAAGGAGUCCUUUUUUUUCCCUCCCCCAAAGGGACUGCGGGCGAAACAGUCCUCUUUGGGAGCAUGUCUGUUUGCGCGGAUCGGGCACCUCGCGGGGGAACUCCGGUGGCUGGCGUGUUCCCGCAGCUGUUGAAUAAGUCGCUCUUAGGAGCUGGCGCGGCAGGUUCCCGUUUCCGCAUUCCAGACAUCCACAGCCGCCGAGGGGGGAGGCACCGGGGGCGGGCAGCCUGCAGAGCGCCGGCCGGUGGCCUUGCGGGAGCCAGCGGGGCCCCAGUCACCUGCCCACCUGCCAGCUCUGUGAUCAGCGCUGGGCUCAGGACGUCUCUGGGAUGCACAGCCUUUGACAUUGGCUCUUCUGAGACCCUCGAGGAGCCCUAGUGUCCGGAGCACACAGGCAUGGCAGGGAAGACGGCCCUGCAGCCCGCCGGCCCUCACCCACAUCUCCUGCUUGCGCUGUCCUGCUGAGCUGCUCAGUCUGGAGACCCUAGGACAGCACCUGCCUCCUGAGGUUGUCCUGGCUCAGUUGUCCACAGCGAUGGUGGAGAACUGGACUCCACAGGCUCACAACCUUCCAGUCAGGCUUCAGGGGCCAGCAUCCUUUAUCCUGGGACUGGCGGCCCUGAACAAUGGCUGAGGGCCCGGGGACCCCAUAAAGUUACUCCGCAGCUCACGGGAGCCAGCAG